rnacentral:tRNA from 1 species
GGAACCGUGCCCGAAUGCCCAGGGAUCACUUUGAUAGGGUGACUUAUGGGGGUUAAAAUCCCCCCAGUUCCU